rnacentral:lncRNA from 1 species
UGUCACCCAGGCUGAAGUGGCACAAUCUCAGCUCACUGCAGCCUCUACCUCCUGGGUUCAAGCGAUUCUCCUGCCUCAACUUCCUGAGUAGCUGGGAUUACAGGUGUGCAUCACCACACCUGGCUAAUUUUUUGUAUUUUUAGUAAAGAUAGGGUUUUGCUGUGUUGGCCAGGCUGGUCUUGAACGCCUGACCUCAAGUGAUCUGUCUGCCUCGGCUUCUGAAAUUGUUGCACUCCAGCCUGGAUGACAGAGCCAGACACUAUCUCAAAAAGGAAAGAAAGCCAGGCAUGGCGGCUCACGCCUGUGAUCCUAGCACUUUGGGAGGCCGAGGUGGGCAGAUUGCCUGAGCUCAGGAAUUUGAGACCAGCCUGGGCAACACGGUGAAAUCCCAUCUCUACUAAAAUACAAAAAAAUGAGCUGGCAUGGCGGUACGCUCCUGUAGUCUGAGACUCCAUCUCAAAAAGGAAAAAAAAAAAAAGCCUCUUGCUCUAGCCAGUUUUCUCCUUUUUUGGUUUCUUAGCUUCUGUCAUCCUGGAGUCCCAUCUUCAAUUGGAGAUGAAGGGUCAGCUAAUUUGAAUUCCCACCCAAAAGUGGUGUUUUGUGCUUUGUCCAGGCUCAGCUCCUUGGUGCCCAUCUGUGCUCAGGGCUCCCUCACCAUCUCGGUGCUUGCUGGGUAGUGCUCAGUGUGGUGGGGAACUGCUCUGGUUCUGGAGUCCGAGUCGGCUCCAGGGCCCAGUACUACCCCUUCCAGCUGUGUGGCCUCACUUGCCUUCACUUCUCCCAGCCUUAGUCUCCUCCUC